CUUGCUUCUUCUGAUUUUAGCGGCGGACGGGUGAGUAACACGUGGGCAACCUACCUUGUAGAUUGGGAUAACUCCGGGAAACCGGGGCUAAUACCGAAUAAACCAUUUUGCUUCAUGGCAAGAUGUUGAAAGGCGGCUUCGGCUGUCACUACUAGAUGGGCCCGCGGCGUAUUAGCUAGUUGGUAGGGUAAUGGCCUACCAAGGCGACGAUACGUAGCCGACCUGAGAGGGUGAUCGGCCACACUGGGACUGAGACACGGCCCAGACUCCUACGGGAGGCAGCAGUAGGGAAUCUUCCACAAUGGACGAAAGUCUGAUGGAGCAACGCCGCGUGAGUGAAGAAGGUUUUCGGAUCGUAAAACUCUGUUGUAAGGGAAGAACACGUACGAGAGUAACUGCUCGUACCUUGACGGUACCUUAUUAGAAAGCCACGGCUAACUACGUGCCAGCAGCCGCGGUAAUACGUAGGUGGCAAGCGUUGUCCGGAAUUAUUGGGCGUAAAGCGCGCGCAGGCGGUUCUUUAAGUCUGAUGUGAAAGCCCACGGCUCAACCGUGGAGGGUCAUUGGAAACUGGAGAACUUGAGUACAGAAGAGGAAAGCGGAAUUCCACGUGUAGCGGUG
rnacentral:rRNA from 1 species